rnacentral:rRNA from 1 species
CGGGUGAGUAACGCGUGAGGAACCUGCCUCAAAGAGGGGGACAACAGUUGGAAACGACUGCUAAUACCGCAUAAGCCCACAGCUCGGCAUCGAGCAGAGGGAAAAGGAGUGAUCCGCUUUGAGGUGGCCUCGCGUCCGAUUAGCUAGUUGGUGAGGUAAUGGCCCACCAAGGCGACGAUCGGUAGCCGGACUGAGAGGUUGAACGGCCACAUUGGGACUGAGACACGGCCCAG